GGUGACUCAGUGGUAGAGUGCUUGCCUUGCAUGCAUGAAGUCCUGGGUUCAAUUCCUCAGUACCA
rnacentral:tRNA from 1 species